rnacentral:tRNA from 1 species
UCCUCGAUAGCUCAAUCGGCAGAGCAUUUGACUGUUAAUCAAAGGGUUCCUGGUUCAAGUCCAGGUCGAGGAGCCA